rnacentral:tRNA from 1 species
CCCUGUGUGGUACAAAUGGUUAAUGUGGUUGGCUGCUAACUGAAAGGCUGGUGGUUCAAGUCCAUCCAGAGGUG